UUAGGUGAAGAGAGAAGCUGUCGUUCAAAAUCAGCUGCUGUGCUUGGAAUUUCAUCCAAAUCCUUUUCUUCAUCGUCAAAACGAUCAGAUUUACUCUUCUUACGCUUUGGUUCCUCAUCUUCUUCAUCCUCACUAUCUUCAGUAUCAUCAGCCAACUUAUCAAAAACAGUACUUCCAUCGGUCCAGUCAAAUCCGUUGGCUUGAAGAGCACUUGGCUCCUCCUCUUCAUCCUCAUCACCAGCAGAUUCCAGAUUUUCUACCUCUUCAGAUUGGACAUCAUCCUUCGAGCCGACUUCAGAUUCGGAUGUAUCUGAUUGAUCCUCUGAUCUCAUUUCAACGUCCUCCUCAUUGUCAGACAUUGAAAUGUCGGAAUCCGAAUCAAAAUAGGAAGACUUAAGCCCUAAAGCAAUUCGGCGUUUUUCAGAAUCAACGUCUAAGACAUGUGCACGGACUUUGUCACCAGAACUAUACAAUUUACUGAUAUUCAGUACAACUGCAUCGGCAAUUUCGGACUUAUGGCAUAAUCCAACAAUAUUGUCGGUUCCAUCAAUACGAAUAAGAACACCGUAGUCACCAACUUUGACGACAGUUCCAUCAAGAUUACUACCGACGGCUAUAUCAGCAAAUGUCUUCGUGAUUUCCGAGGAAUCCUUGAUUUUGCUUUGUUUCAAUGACAUUUCAAUACGCUUGGAAUCAUUGUCGAUUCCAACGAUGCUUCCCUUAACUAGUUGGUUGACGUGAAAAUGGGGCUUCCAAUCCUUAAUGAAUGUAUCGAACAAUUCGCCUAUUUUUACUCGAGCAAUCAGAUUAUGUCCUAUCGUAACAAAGAGGCCUUGGUUAGCAACAUUGCAAACAAAUCCCCGACAUAUAUCACCAAUCUUGAGAUCAUCUACGGAAUUUAUUUCCUUGUCCUUGAUUUCCACAGGCUGCGAUUGAGUACGAGAAUUACGAGCAGAUAAGGCCACUUUUCUAUUAGGUACAUCCACACUUAAGACACAGACACCUACCAAAUUAUUGCGGGUAAAUUUAGUUUCGGGUAAAAUAUCGUAAUCGUCAAACAUAUCAAUUCGAGAAACUCUACCAGACAUAUGACCAGGAAGUUGCAAAAUAGCACCAG